GGGCCGGUAACUCAGUGGUAGAGUGUAGGACUGCAGUUUUUCUUCAUCUGCCUUCCCGAAGUCACCGGUUCGACUCCGGUUCGGCCCU